rnacentral:rRNA from 1 species
AGCUUGCUCCCCUGAUUUAGCGGCGGACGGGUGAGUAAUGCCUAGGAAUCUGCCUGGUAGUGGGGGAUAACGUUCCGAAAGGAACGCUAAUACCGCGUACGUCCUACGGGAGAAAGCAGGGGACCUUCGGGCCUUGCGCUAUCAGAUGAGCCUAGGUCGGAUUAGCUAGUUGGUGAGGUAAUGGCUCACCAAGGCGACGAUCCGUAACUGGUCUGAGAGGAUGAUCAGUCACACUGGAACUGAGACACGGUCCAGACUCCUACGGGAGGCAGCAGUGGGGAAUAUUGGACAAUGGGCGAAAGCCUGAUCCAGCCAUGCCGCGUGUGUGAAGAAGGUCUUCGGAUUGUAAAGCACUUUAAGUUGGGAGGAAGGGCAGUAGGUUAAUACCUUGCUGUUUUGACGUUACCGACAG